AUGUGAUAAUACCAAAUGACCGCUCAUUGCGCAUGCCCCAUUAUUGCGCGGGAAAUUUAAACACCCAGACGUCCUAAUUGCUGCUACUGGCAGAGCCACCAACCGGAUGGGGAACUCUACCCGGCGUUUUGCAGAAUCCGCUAUUGGUGCCCCUCCUGAGAGGAAGAAACAGUAACAAGGACUGAGUUAGUGGGUGAGGAAAGUUCACCUUUGUCUCCUGCACCCAUUCCUGCUCGAAUGCACAGGUAUCGCCAGCGAUCCACCUCACCACUGGACCUGCUCUUUCCUUGCCUUGAAUUCACCAAAUCAAAUAUAUGCUGCAUGCAACCUUGUAAAAGA